rnacentral:piRNA from 1 species
UGGUGUGUGGUGGCAGGACCUGAAGCUC